UACGGGGGGAGCAAGCGUUGUUCGGAUUUACUGGGCGUAAAGGGCGCGUAGGCGGUCAGCACAAGUCGGUUGUGAAAUCUCCGAGCUUAACUCGGAAAGGUCAACCGAAACUGUGCGACUAGAGUGCAGAAGGGCAACUGGAAUUCUUGGUGUAGCGGUGAAAUGCGUAGAUAUCAAGAGGAACACCUGCGGCGAAGGCGGGUUGCUGGGCUGACACUGACGCUGAAGCGCGAAAGCCAGGGAGCGAACGGG
rnacentral:rRNA from 1 species